UAGGAGGAGCCUCAGAGCGGUCGACCCAACGUCCUUCCCUUUGCUGAGAAGGUACAGGCCUGGGUUGAAUCCCAGCCUGGUAAAUCAUCAAGCUGUGCGGGCCUGGGACUGUCACAGAACCUUUCUGAGCCUCGUUCCCCCUCACUUGUAAAGCAUGAUGAAACCUCCGUGCCUGGCAUCCUCUGAGGACUGGGUGGAACAGUCCGUGCUCUGCGCCUGGCCGGGGGUAGGGGGCACCCACUGAAGACAUCCUUUUCUGGCACCCACAAGGGGCUGCGGCGUUACUGGCAAUUUCCCAGACUCUGGACCACCUUCUCCUCCUGGGCUUUGUUUUCCUGCCCAGCCACAGUCUUGAGAUCCGAUAGGUAGACAGUCGAAGCGCAGAUACCGCACUGUCGGAGCUCCAGGACCCUUCCCCAUCGGGGACUCCCGUUGCCUCCAGGCCCUCAGGACAAGCCCAAGGGACCUGUGAGAGGCUUCCUAGUCAUCAGGUUUUUCACUUUCAAUGGAUACCUACACCCCGUCUUUUGAUGCUUCUGUUGAAUGGAAAUGUCCAGUUCGAAGGACACAAAAAACUCCUGGUGUCCUGGAUCCCGUCUGUCACACGGUCUUGAACCUCCCUACCUAGGAAAGAAGUAAUGAGAACUGUCUUCUCCUCCAGGUGACCAAAGGUCCCUUUGCCAGGCCCAUCCUUGAUCCUGAGCUAUAUGCUCUCCAGGCCUGGCUUUCAUUUGGUGCAGUGGAAGAAGACAAAGGCUUCAGAGCCAGACAAAUGUGGGUUUCCACGCUAACUUGGCCAUUUAGCACCUGCAGAACCUUGGAUGGGUUCUGACCUUCACUUUUCACAUCUUUUCAAUGGGAGUGUUGCUAAAUGCUUAGACUAAUUUGGGGGAGUGUCGUUUUUCCCAAUUUAUUCCCUUUCUUUUGGAGAAUUUUUUAAGAAGGUGGGAGAUGCCUGUGAGGCACCAUUUCUGAUUUAUACCCGAUUCUUUCCACGGAGGUGCAACUGGCAAAACUCUGGGUGCCCUGGAAAGCACAGGCAGGUUCAGUGUCAUCAGGCCAAGCUACUGAGCCAGCCCAGGUGUGUGCCCGGGUGCUUGCCCAUCAGCCAAUGCGCCAUGGAAGGCCCCAGAUCCUUUCUGCUGCUUCCUACUAUCCUAGACUGCUCCAUGCCCCCCAUGCCCCUCGAUAUGUCUCUGUCCACCCCAUGUAUCCCCACAACACAUCUCACUGUGUCAGUGAGACCUUCUGUGACCCAUCAGCAGGAAAUGCAACCCUUCCCGCUUCUGAUUUCCUCCAACUGUUGCUGCCUUGCACUCACUUCUUUCUUACUGUUUUUGCACAGUAACUUCUCUUUUCACCGAGAGAUGUGAGAAAUGUCCUUGAUGAAAGGUAGCCUCCAGUUCUACUCCUGGGCAAACGAUCUGUCUUAGUUUGUUGAGGCUGCUAUAACAAAAUACCGCAGACAGAGUGGCUGAGACAACAGAUACUUAUUUCUCAGAGUUAUGGAGGCUGGGGAUUCUGCCCAAGGUCACUGUGCCGGCAGAUCUGGGGGCUGGUGGGGCAACCCGCUUUCUGGCUUGCAAAUGGCUGUCUUUCCAUGACAUCAUCACACAGUAUGGAGAGAGAGGAGGCAAGCUCCGGCUGCUCUACUUACAAGGACACUAAUCGCAUUCACCAGGGCUCCACCCUCACGUCCUAAUCAGCUCCCAGAGCCCCACUUCCUGGGCGUACCAUCACCUUGGGAGUGAGGGUUUCAACAUAUGAAUUUUGAAGAGACACAAAUAUGCAGUCUGCAGCAAGCUUCUCACUUCCAAAUGGAGAUUUCCUUAUUUUCAGAGUUAGAAUUAAACUCAUCUUACUACAUUUGAUCUUAGUCCAAAGGCCGAGAAGCGAUAGAAUUAAACUCAUCUUAGACAUUGCGGCAAAUUCACAUGAAAACCCCUGUCCAUGGUAUGUCAAUGGCAACGCCAUAGGCUCUGUUUCUGAACCUUGAUGCAAUCAUCCGGCCAGAGCUCUACACAGAAGGCUUGGAGCCGAGAUCUAUUGACGGACUAAUUACUGUGAUGGUGCUUGGAAACAGCUCCGAGGCGUCUUGUAUCUCCCCCUCCCCUCCUCCUCCCCGCCCCCACCUCUCUGCUUCAUUUGUGCUCCCCACAUUCUUUCACACGCCCUGCAGGAUUCACCUGCUCCAGCACACCACCACGGUUGCUGGCUUCUCUGCACACCUUUUCCUCCACCUUUAAUGUGGUUUUGAUGUUCGUCGCCAGGAGACCCAGGACCACAGCUCAGUUGCCUGCACAGACCCAUCCGGGACCCGCAGCAUCCAGCUAGUCCACGGGGCCAGCUGCUCCUUGGACUCCAUUAGCUCGAUCAGCCGUCCAAAGCUCCAUGCGCUUUCUGAUCCUGCCCUGAAGAGGCGUGUGCUUUGCAGGAACUUCUGACCGGACUCGCUGCUUCCGCUCAGCUGAGGCGCACAAAGGCAGUCACACUGAAAGAGGCUUAUGUGUGUAGAUUGCUGUGCAGAGCAGAACCCAAGCUAAAAGGGUAUACUUCCUGGCCCGAGGCAUAAACACCACAUCGAAUUUUUUUUCUCCUUUCAUAAGGGAUAUUUUUCAGGCUUGUAAUGAAGUGUGGUCAGAAUGUAUUCUCUUCUAGAAUAUUAAGUCAGGCAGAGGUUUUUUCUUUUUUUCCUUUUUCUCUUUUAUACAUGUGAAUAAAAGUGGAGUAAACAAAG